rnacentral:rRNA from 1 species
UUUCUGCCCUAUCAACUUUCGAUGGUAGGGUAGUGGCCUACCAUGGUUUCAACGGGUAACGGAGAAUUAGGGUUCGAUCCCGGAGAGGGAGCCUGAGAAACGGCUACCACAUCCAAGGAAGGCAGCAGGCGCGCAAAUUACCCAAUCCCGACACGGGGAGGUAGUGACAAUAAAUAAUGAUACAGGGCUCUUUUGGGUCUUGUAAUUGGAAUGAGUACAAUUUAAAUCCCUAACGA